AUUGAACGCUGGCGGCAGGCCUAACACAUGCAAGUCGAGCGGCAGCACAGAGAGCUUGCUCUCGGGUGACGAGCGGCGGACGGGUGAGUAAUGUCUGGGAAACUGCCUGAUGGAGGGGGAUAACUACUGGAAACGGUAGCUAAUACCGCAUAAUGUCGCAAGACCAAAGUGGGGGACCUUCGGGCCUCAUGCCAUCAGAUGUGCCCAGAUGGGAUUAGCUAGUAGGUGGGGUAACGGCUCACCUAGGCGACGAUCCCUAGCUGGUCUGAGAGGAUGACCAGCCACACUGGAACUGAGACACGGUCCAGACUCCUACGGGAGGCAGCAGUGGGGAAUAUUGCACAAUGGGCGCAAGCCUGAUGCAGCCAUGCCGCGUGUGUGAAGAAGGCCUUCGGGUUGUAAAGCACUUUCAGCGGGGAGGAAGGCGUUAAGGUUAAUAACCUUGGCGAUUGACGUUACCCGCAGAAGAAGCACCGGCUAACUCCGUGCCAGCAGCCGCGGUAAUACGGAGGGUGCAAGCGUUAAUCGGAAUUACUGGGCGUAAAGCGCACGCAGGCGGUCUGUCAAGUCGGAUGUGAAAUCCCCGGGCUCAACCUGGGAACUGCAUUCGAAACUGGCAGGCUAGAGUCUUGUAGAGGGGGGUAGAAUUCCAGGUGUAGCGGUGAAAUGCGUAGAGAUCUGGAGGAAUACCGGUGGCGAAGGCGGCCCCCUGGACAAAGACUGACGCUCAGGUGCGAAAGCGUGGGGAGCAAACAGGAUUAGAUACCCUGGUAGUCCACGCCGUAAACGAUGUCGAUUUGGAGGUUGUGCCCUUGAGGCGUGGCUUCCGGAGCUAACGCGUUAAAUCGACCGCCUGGGGAGUACGGCCGCAAGGUUAAAACUCAAAUGAAUUGACGGGGGCCCGCACAAGCGGUGGAGCAUGUGGUUUAAUUCGAUGCAACGCGAAGAACCUUACCUGGUCUUGACAUCCACAGAACUUUCCAGAGAUGGAUUGGUGCCUUCGGGAACUGUGAGACAGGUGCUGCAUGGCUGUCGUCAGCUCGUGUUGUGAAAUGUUGGGUUAAGUCCCGCAACGAGCGCAACCCUUAUCCUUUGUUGCCAGCGGUUAGGCCGGGAACUCAAAGGAGACUGCCAGUGAUAAACUGGAGGAAGGUGGGGAUGACGUCAAGUCAUCAUGGCCCUUACGACCAGGGCUACACACGUGCUACAAUGGCAUAUACAAAGAGAAGCGACCUCGCGAGAGCAAGCGGACCUCAUAAAGUAUGUCGUAGUCCGGAUUGGAGUCUGCAACUCGACUCCAUGAAGUCGGAAUCGCUAGUAAUCGUAGAUCAGAAUGCUACGGUGAAUACGUUCCCGGGCCU
rnacentral:rRNA from 1 species